GGUCUGGGGUUCGCGAUCGCCCCGUGAGGCGUCAGCCUGAGAGUCGCGCCUGCAACCCUGAAUGCGAAGGGAGGGCGCCUCAUG
rnacentral:ncRNA from 1 species